rnacentral:lncRNA from 1 species
UAAAAGAAAAUGCUUUCUUUCUUUCUUUCUUCUUUUUUUUUUUCUUUUCUCCUUCCUGAUGAACAUUCUCACUGAAUGAUCACCAAAGUUCAUUUUGGAGAAGGGCAUGGCAACCCUCUUUGGUACUCUUGCCUGGAAAAUCCCAUGAACAGAGGAGCCUGGCUGGCUAAAAUCCAUGGGGUUGGAAGGAGUCAGACACAACUGAAGUGACUUAGCAUGAAGUUCAUUUUAGAAUUAGCACACUUGACUAAUUCCUCCACACUUAACUACCUAUCUUUUUUCAUAGCAUUUAAAAAAAUUCACUUUGAGUAUGCCAAGGUUUUCUUAUCCAUGGGUUGUUUUCAAAGAGACCUCUAUAGCAAACCAAAGGCCACAGAGUUUAAGCAAAUAGUUAAUAUGCUCUGAAAAGAGAGACAGAAAAAUCCCUCAUACCGAUGACUUGGUGAUUAAGCCUGGGAGACAACUUGAAUAAUUAUUUUCAUAAAUUAUAGAAAUAAAAACCAAAUAUAGCUUCUAACGGCUAUAUUCUUGCUGAGCUGCUCCACUCUGGUAAAGACUUGAAGUUAUUUUAGGAAUAUUUUAUAAUUUAAAAAGCUUAAUGAAAACUGUCUUUUUCUAGAAGGAAUGAAAAGCCAUUCUCAAAUGGAUGUGGGGUGACCUAGUUCUCUCUCCCUCUGCAGCACCGAUCAUGAGCUGUUCUGCAGAGCUGGGCUUGCCUCCCUCAUCACUCCCUGGAACACUUCUCAAAGCCUUGCCAUUACACAGCAUUCCCAGGGUGGUGGUGAUUUAGGUGGAUAAGUCUCUUUAAAGUUAUAUUUCUAUUUUUACAUAUUUUGGGACAUGUAACAUAACACCCAACCUGAUAUUACAUGGCUAUUACUCCUCAGAUGAAGGCUUAAGUAAAACAAAAAAAAAAAGUAUGUCAAUUUAAAUGAUAGUAUUAAGAGAAUUACAAUUUGUAUUUAGAGAUAAUAAACAUUGUCAAGGACACCAGAGUAACUGAAAUUCUGGAAAUAAUGCCUUCUCCCAUGGAGAAACAUGCUUUGGAAUUUGAUGUACUUACAAAUGACUUUUAAAAAAUGCUUUUAUUUUGAAAUAUGAUAGAUUCAUAAGAUGUUGUAAAGAUAGUACAGAGAAUUCCUAUAUACCUUUUGUCCAGUUUCCCCCAGUGAGUCUAUCUUACAUAGUACAGUACAAUAUCAAAAGUAGGAGACUGAGUUAGUGCAAUGUGUGUUCACAGCUCUAUGACACUUUA